UUCUUGCAUAAAACGAUGGGGACAGUUUUAUCUGUUUUUGCUUGUAUUAUUUCUGUAUUUCUGUAUUUUUUUAAAGUUUAGGGUAUCCUAUUUCCACCAGACAAACACAUUGAAGCUGAAAAACAAGCACAAUAACAACUCAAUAGUCAUAUUGGUGUGUACCAUAGCUACCUCCCCUUAAAAAAAGUUGUGUUCUGUUUUACAAUAAAACCUCAGCCUAGCUGAGAAGUGGUCUAAGUAUUUAUUAUUGUUGUUACUAACAAAUGUUUUGCUAUUAUGAUGUAAAGCAGCAUAACACCAAGACUAUUGCAUACGGUAGAGCUGUGACAGGAACUCAGUCUGUAAGAGCAAUCAUUAGGCUACAUAUAGAUCUGAUGGAGAAUUAGAAUACGGUACCUUCAUAAAGUUGAUUUUGGUCCUUAUACUUGUCAACCCCGGUAUCUCACGUUUUUGGAAAGGCAUAACUCUCAGGGUAGCAGCUCAAGUGUCGUAAGUUGAGGUUGGGCAAAAAUCGGUCACCCUUUAUUUAAUAAACUAAGAACGUCUUUCAACAUAUGAAUUACUUUGGUGCUGAUUUUGUCAUAUUUUUAUUAUUAUUUCUUUUUUUUGUUUGUUCCAAAUAAACUUGGGUCAAUUCAA